GACGUAGGGGGCCAGCGUUGCUCGGAAUUACUGGGCGUAAAGGGCGCGUAGGCGGUGCCACAAGUCACCUGUGAAAUCUCCGGGCUUAACUCGGAGCCUGCAGGCGAAACUGUGGUGCUGGAGUGUGGGAGAGGUGCGUGGAAUUCCCGGUGUAGCGGUGAAAUGCGUAGAUAUCUGGAGGAACACCGGUGGCGAAGGCGGCAUCCUGGACCGGCAUUGACGCUGAGGAGCGAAAGCCAGGGGAGCAAACGGG
rnacentral:rRNA from 1 species